CCUACGGGGAGCAGCAGUGAGGAAUAUUGGUCAAUGGGCGGGAGCCUGAACCAGCCAAGUCGCGUGAGGGAAGACGGUCCUAUGGAUUGUAAACCUCUUUAGGCGGGGAGCAAUGCCGGGCACGCGUGCCCGGAGGGAGAGUACCCGCAGAAUAAGCAUCGGCUAACUCCGUGCCAGCAGCCGCGGUAAUACGGAGGAUGAGAGCGUUAUACGGAUUUAGUGGGUUUAAAGGGUGCGUAGGCGGAUUUUUAAGUCAGCGGUAAAAUGUCCGGGCUCAACCCGGGCCGGCCGUUGAAACUGGGGAUCUUGAGUGGGCGAGAAGUAUGCGGAAUGCGUGGUGUAGCGGUGAAAUGCAUAGAUAUCACGCAGAACUCCGAUUGCGAAGGCAGCAUACCGGCGCCCGACUGACGCUGAGGCACGAAAGCGUGGGGAUCGAACAGGAUUAGAUACCCGGGUAGUC
rnacentral:rRNA from 1 species